UCCGGAACUUAUCUGGGCGUCAAGCGCGCGUAGGCGGUUUUUUAAGUCUGAUGUGAAAGCCCACGGCUCAAGCCGUGGAGGGUCAUUGGAAACUGGAAAACUUGAGUGCAGAAGAGGAAAGUGGAAUUCCAUGUGUAGUCGGUGAAAUGCGCAGAGAUAUGGAGGAACAUCCAGUGGCGAAGGCGAUCUUUCUGGUCUGUAACUGACGCUGAUGUGCGAAAGCGUCGGGGAUCAAACAGGAUUAGAUACCCUGGUAGUCAAGGGCG
rnacentral:rRNA from 1 species